AUGCUCCGGACGCCAUGGCGGCGCGGGACAGAGAGAGUUUGAUCAUGGCUAGACGGUCCCGGCAGGCCUAACACAUGCAGUCGAGCGGAGGGGGCCUUCAAGGAUGCCGGCGAGCGGCGGACGGGUGAGUAAUGCCUAGGAAUCUGCCUGGUAGUGGGGGAUAACCCGGGGAAACUCGAGCUAAUACCGCAUACGUCCUACGGGAGAAAGCGGGGGACCUUCGGACCUCGCGCUACCAGAUGAGCCUAGGUCGGAUUAGCUAGUUGGUGAGGUAAAGGCUCACCAAGGCGACGAUCCGUAGCUGGUCUGAGAGGAUGAUCAGCCACACUGGAACUGAGACACGGUCCAGACUCCUACGGGAGGCAGCAGUGGGGAAUAUUGGACAAUGGGCGAAAGCCUGAUCCAUACAUGCCGCGUGUGUGAAGAAGGUCUUCGGAUUGUAAAGCACUUUAAGUUGGGAGGAAGGGCAGUAAGUUAAUACCUUGCUGUUUUGACGUUACCGACAGAAUAAGCACCGGCUAACUUUCGUGCCAGCAGCCGCGGUAAUACGAAGGGUGCAAGCGUUUAAUCGGAAUUUACUGGGCGUAAGCGCGCGUAGGUGUUUUGAUAAGUUGGAUGUGAAAGCCCCCGGGSUUCAACCUGGGAAUUGCAUCCAAAACUGUCUGACUAGAGUAUGGCCAGGGUGGUGGAAUUUCCUGUGUAACGGUGGAAAUGCGUAAUAUAGGAAGAACCCACGGCGAAGGGACCCCCUGGGCUAAACUGACACUGAAGUGCAAAGCCGGGGGGAG
rnacentral:rRNA from 1 species